rnacentral:rRNA from 1 species
UACGUAGGGGGCAAGCGUUAUCCGGAAUUACUGGGUGUAAAGGGAGAGUAGGCGGCAAGGUAAGCAAUAUAUGAAAGCCUUAGGCUUAACCUGAGGAUUGCAUAACGAACUAUCUAGCUAGAGUACAGGAGAGGAAAGCGGAAUUCCUAGUGUAGCGGUGAAAUGCGUAGAUAUUAGGAAGAACACCAGUGGCGAAGGCGGCUUUCUGGACUGAAACUGACGCUGAGGCUCGAAAGCGUGGGGAGCGAACAGG